UACAGAGGGUGCGAGCGUUGUCCGGAAUUACUGGGCGUAAAGGGCGCGUAGGCGGUCUGGUAAGCGUGUGGUGAAAGCUUCGGGCUCAACCCGGAGUCGGCCGUGCGAACUGCGAGACUUGAGCAUGUCAGAGGCAGGCGGAAUUCCGGGUGUGGCGGUGGAAUGCGUAGAGAUCCGGAAGAACACCGGUGGCGAAGGCGGCCUGCUGUGACAUGGCUGACGCUGAGGCGCGACAGCGUGGGGAGCAAACAGG
rnacentral:rRNA from 1 species